UUUCGCGUUGGGCUUGCGGGCCAUGAUGCCAUUACCCACCGCAUGUAAAAGGUGAGUUUUACCCAAGCCAGUGCCGCCGU
rnacentral:antisense_RNA from 1 species